AAGCCACAAUCGGCUCCCCCACACUUAGUCCAAAGCCCAGCACCAGGGUUUCCUUUCUGGGACGCUGCACUCCAGGCUCCAGAACCAGUCGCUGCUUCCCUAUAGUUUUUCGUUUCCCUGUCAGCCACGUCUGUGUGGAGCCUGUGUGUGCUGCCUGGGUCCCCUCUGAGGUUGGUCCUGAGGGUUGGGCCUAUAUCUGUUCUUCCGUGUCUCAGUAAGCCACAAUCAGCCCCACCACUCUGACACCAGGAAACCACGAGGGCUCAAGGCUGUGGCGUGGGACACUGGCUCUGGAAGUGGUCCCUGCUGCAGCGUGGCUUUUCGCUCCCCCGUCACUCAGGUCAACUCCUUAGUUCUGUGUUUGAUGGUCAGGGUUUGUAGAUUGUCCUUUAUGUAAUCAGUUCACUUGUUUUUUCGAGUCUUUGUUUCAAGAGGGAUAAGCGGAAUCUUCUACCUAGUGAGCCAUCUUGGUCCUGCCCCCGUGUCUGCCUCUUUAUGUGAUUUGAUAUUGACUGUUGUCUCUGAGCCAUCUGUAAGUUAUUGUAUUAGUUUAUUUUAUGCUUGCUUUUUGUAUCCUAGCUUCUUGCUUUGUUUAGUUUUGGUAUACCCAAAUAAGCUGCUUGAGUGCACUAGGUUGAUUAUUUUCACCUUUGAAGCUCUAAUGUACUAUCACCAGAUGGCUAGCACUGUUACCAGGCAUAUGAGCCUAGGAGUUCAUUUAUUUUUCUUGUAUGGAUUCAACUCAGGUGCCCAGGUAGUUGGUCAUAAAGUGUGUGGUACGGGCUCUGUCCUACAGUCUUAAAGGGGCAGGGGUCAUUGGUGUAGGCAGAAGUAUCUGGCUGCAGUAGGGGGUCAGGCUCUGAUCAAGGCAGGGGUCUGACAGCUGUGCUCUGAGUGUCUGUGAGGAAAGUGCAUCCCUGUUCUGUAGAGCACAUGGGUGGGUUCUGCAGAAGGGCAGUGGGUACCCAAUGCUUUUGGUUGUAAGUUCUGGGCGGUACUACUUAUCCUUGGAGCCCUAUCACAGGUGGCUAGGUAUUGUGGGUGGAGCCAGCAGUCCUUAUGCCCCUGAUGUGGGUAGGUGAAGACCCUGUUUAAUAGGCAAAGCAGUGUCAAACAUCAAAUACCCAUCUUUCCACCGUUCAGGUGAAACAGUUGCAGUCUGGCAACAAGGGCCUAUUCUCCUGAAAUGGGCCCACACAGGUCCAUGCUGGGGUGAAAGGUAUUCAAAGCCCAUGGACUGUUUGUGCCUGAACAAGAGCUGCUUCUGUCCUGAGCUCCCCAGCUUAAUUGAGCUGGCAGAUUAUCUUUCCCCCAGUUGUGAACUUAUACCUUCUUCAAGGAUGGAAAAAUGGCUCAGAGUGGUACCAGGGCCUAUCUCAGGCCCAGGGAAGUUGACAGCCACUGAAGCCGGCUUGGGGGCUGGGGGCGUGGUAAAAUAAACACAAGUAAUUAGCUUUUGCUGAGAGUGCCGUUCUUCUCUUGUUCUGGAGGUGUGAGUAGUCUGUGCAACUUGCUGUCCUUCCCUGAGCUAAACGCCUGUGGAACGCCACUGCCAGCCCCACUGCAGUCGCUCCAGGGAACGGUGCCUGAGGGUUCCUGGCUAUUCAGGUCCAGUAACUCCUCUCCACUUCUGAAUAGUCUCUCCCUCCCCCUGCCGCUGAGUCCAUUUUCUAACUUUACCUUUGAUGUUCAGGGCUCCUAGCUUCUCAUAAAUAUAAUCGCUUCACUUGUUUUUUCUGGUCUUUUUUGUAAGAGGGAUCACUGGUGGCGUCUCAAUACUCAAAACUUCAUCAUUUCUUCCUUUCACUUUAGCUACUCGACAUUCAAGAGCAACGUUCAGAGUCUCUUCCGACAUCCGUUUUGGUCUUUUCUUUCUUUCCUGUCUUUUAAAGGAUCUCUUGCUUUCUUCAUGUGUGAUGUCCUUGAUGUCAUUCCACAACUCGUCUGGUCUUCAGUCGUUAGUGUUCAACACGUAAAAUGUGUUCUUGAGGUGGUCUCUAAAUACAGGUGAGAUAUACUCAAGGUCAUAUUUUGGCCCCUUUUGACUUAUUCUAAUUUUCUUCAGUUUCAACUUGAACUCCCAUAUGAGCAAUUGACAGUCUGUUUCACAAUUGAUCCCUGGCCUUGUUCUGACUGAUGAUAUGAGUUUUCCCAUCUUCUCUUUCCACAGAUGUAGUCAGUUUGAUUCCUGUGUAUUCCAUCUGGUAAAGUCCACGUGUAUAGCUGCCGUUUAUGUUGGUGAAAAAAAAUAUUUGCAGUGGAUGAGUCACUGGUCUUGCAGAAUUCUUUCAUGAGAUUUCUGGUGUCAUUUAUUUCAUCGAUGCUGUAUUUUCCAACUACUUUUCCUUCUUUGUUUCCAACUUUAACAUUCUAAUGACCAGUAAUUAUCAAUGCAUCUUGAUUGCAUGUUUGAUCAAUUUCAGGCUGCAGAAGUUGUUUAAAAUCUUCAAUUUCUUUAUCUUUGGCAUUAGUGGUUGGUGCAUCAAUUUGAAUAGUCGUAUAAACUAGUCUUCCUUGUAAGUGUAUGGAUUUUAGCCUAUUAGUGACAACAUUGUACUUCAGGCUAGAUCUUGAAAUGUUCUCUUUGAUGAUAUGUAACGUCAUUCUUUUGACUCUAGUGGAAUAUCCAUGUUUGUAAGACUGCUCACAGACUGUUUCACCAGAGAGUUUUCUGGUACUGCAACAUCUACCACUAAUCUCUGUGAUCCCUGUGAAUUGGCAAAAUAAGAAUAGUGCUAUAGAUUUCUUCCAAAUACAGAAAACAUAAGUAUGAAAAUGUUCUUGCUGUUGAUUAUAUUCUUUACCAAUCUGUUUGUGUGGGAUUUUUGGUACUUCACUUGAAAAAUGAGUCCAAGGUACUGUGAUGUGAUUGUUUACUUUGUGUGGCCUUUCUAGCCAUGGUCUUAUAACAUCCACCCUGGUGCUUGGGCAGGACUGUGUGAUAGGGUAAUUGUGGCUCACCAAGGGGAUUGUUUAUUUUCCCUUCAAAGAGAACCAGUUCCAGAGCAAAGAGGAGGAUUCAACUCCCAUCAAGGAAGAACAGCCAAGAGCCGAGCGUAUAUUAUGGACCUGAGAUCCCUGCACUGAGAAGCUCCUAGAAGCAAGAGACUGAGAUAGAGAGAGGAAGCUGUAACCCUGAAGAUGCUUAAAUACAGACCAGAAGAGGAGUUUGGGGCUUGACACCUGACAUCUUAACACCAGUUCCUGUUUCUUGAGGAAGGAAGAGGUAAAAUAAAUCAGCGUUUACUGUUUCCUUCUCCAUCCCCGGAAGUCCUGAUGAAGACCCUCUCAGAGAACCAGUUCCAGAGCAAAGAGGAGGAUUCAACUCCCAUCAAGGAAGAACAGCCAAGAGCCGAGCGUAUAUUAUGGACCUGAGAUCCCUGCACUGAGAAGCUCCUAGAAGCAGGAGAGUGAGAUAGAGAGAGGAAGCUGUAACCCUGAAGAUGCUUAAAUACAGACCAGAAGAGGAGUUUGGGGCUUGACACCUGACAUCUUAACACCAGUUCCUGUUUCUUGAGGAAGGAAGAGGUAAAAUAAAUCAGCGUUUACUGUUUCCUUCUCCAUCCCCGGAAGUCCUGAUGAAGACCCUCUCAGGCGGGACGCCCCUCCUGUGCUGUCCUCAGAAGGGCUCUUCAGGGACCGCACCCCUAGUUUGCGGAGCAGCAGAGCCUGCCCCAGUCUGGACCAGGGACUUUAUUUCUUCCACUCUCACCACUGGCUGAAGGCAGACUCCUGUCUCCACAGACUAAAGAGGAAUUAUCAAAAUGAGCUCGAAACUCUAGAUUUGAGUUAAGGAUCAUAAAUUAACACAGAGAAAUACAACUUUAACAACAAAGACCUGUUUGGAGCCCCAGUUGGAAUUAAAAAAAAAAAAACUUGAACAGAGGGAGUGAUAAAGUCUUCCUUCUUUUGCCACCCUCUCUCGGUGGUCCCAAGCUUUCUCAUCUCCCACCUCACAAGACUGUAUCAACUGCUUUGAGACUUUUAGAAUAAAGAUCCCCAGGCAUAUCACUGCUGUUACCCUGUGAGGAUUUCCCCAGUGCUGGGUUAGAGUAAGACAGAAUCCUUCCAAGGCUUCCAGGGCCUGUGUACUGGACGGUCAGCACACGGAGCCUCAGAGCCCACUUCGUUUUUCCUGUAGUUGGGCAUGACCCCAGGGACAUGACCCUGAGAGUGCUGACACUUACUGAAGCCAGUGACUCUCCCCCUGGGCUUCUCUCUGCAUGGGUCUCAGAAUCUCUGAGGCCAACUUGUACCCUCGGAAGUGUUUCUGCUGAAGGACACGUAAACCGCACUGUGGAUUUGUGUCCUGCAGUCUGCAAAACUGCCUCCCCUGAGUGGGGUGAGGAGCUACUGAAAUACUGAAAUCAUUGAAACUAGCAGAAGCCACAGCUCAUGGUGCUGGGAGAAAACUGGGAAGGACGGAGAGGUGAAGAGGCUAUAAAGGCUCAGUUGUGAAGGUGAUCAUGGGCCAGGAUGUCCUGAAGUCGCAAAGCUGACCAAUGCUGAGUGCCCUAAAACCUGCUACUCCUGUGCCCAUCUCUUCUUUCAAUGGACAAAGUCUUCCCCUGCUCUUAUGUGCCUGGGCUGGAAGGGCCUUUGACUUAGAACAUGAAGCAGCCUCCAGAGCCUCUUGGGGCAAGUGAUGGUCAAGGAGGCUCUGCCUAACCCCACCCUGCCCUUCCCACUUGUCAGAGGACCAGGAAUUUCAGUCUUCCAGCUCCUGGGCUGAUCUAGUGACUUGUAACAGGAUUUCUCUGGAACUGGAAGGUGUUGAAGACAGGAAGUACUCCUGGGUUUCUUCACCCAGCUGAAUGCCUAGUUCCUGGUCUUAUUACACGGCUUACAUUCAGGAUAAGAAGAGGCAUUUGGAGCUUUACGCAUGACCUCUUAGCAGAGGUUUCUGUUCAGGAGCGAAGAGGUAAAAAGAAAGCAGUGUCUACUAAAUCCUUUUCCAAGAGUCUCAGGAAAUUCUCACGAAGACCUUCUCAGGUAAGGACUGACGGGAAAUGCCUUGGUUUAAUAUUAAACUUUGCCCUUGACACAUUUUGUUUAUGGAGGGCAUAUACAAUGUUGUCCGCUCAAGGAAGCACUGUAGUUCUUAUCUAGACUUUAUGUAGAAUGAGUAUAUAUAAAACCUAAACUUGGUCCUUAAGCAAGGGGUUACCUCUCAGAGAAGGCCUAUGGGAAGGUUUCUACGAAAUUCUGUGGUGCUGCCAUUGCUCCAAGGAGCCCAGGUGGUGCCAAGUUUGAGCACUCGGCUGUUAACCGAAGGUUAGUUUUUUGAACCCACCAAAAGGCUCUAAGGAGUAAAGACCUGGCGAACUGCUUCCGUUAAGAUUACAAACCAGGAAACCCUAUCGGGGAAGUUCUCCUUUUACACUGGGCCACAAUGACUCAGAAACCCACUCGAUGGCACCUAGCAAUAUCAACAGGAAGCCGUUGCCCCCCAUGUGCUUGAAGUGCCUCUCUGGGGAAGGUUGGCCUUCAGAACCAGCUCAUGGCCACACGGGAACUGAGACUCAUGUUUUGUUACCACACCUUAGUUUCAGUCAGUAAAUUUAUUUUCCAGUUUGUUCACUAGACUUGACUACAGACAUCUCUCAGGUAUUGUCAAAAUUAAUUCCAUUCUCUAAUAAUGAUUUGCCAGGAUGUAUUUCCAAGCAUUUCCAAGAGACUGGAAAAACUUUCCAAAGAGGCUUGUUCAGUGCCAUGUUGUGCAGUAACUACAGUGUUGACAUAGUAUAUUUAUCCACAUAGUUUCCACGUUUUCUGCUUUCCAUAAAUACAACUGAAAUUCCAAGUCUACCACCUGAAGUACUUCCUUUAGUGUUUCACUUAGAAGUCUGGUGGUGAUGAAUUCUCUCAGUUUUCUUUCCCCUAAGAAUGGCAUUAUUUGUGCUUUACUCCUGAAGGUAAUGAUUGGACAUAGAAUUCUGGGUUAAUAUUUCCAUCUUUCAGGGUUGAAAAAAUGAUGUUUCACAAUCUUUUUUUUUUUUUGGCUUCCAUGGCUUCUGAUAGUGAAUACAGAGUCAUUCAAAUUAUUUUUCUCAGGUGAAAUGUGUUGUUUUCUCUCUACCUCCUUCCUGAGUAUUUUCUUGACCUUUGUUAUUCUGCAGUUGAUUAUGAUGUAUGGUAUUUUUAUGCAAGUAACCCAUGUUCUAUAUAUAUAUAUAUAUGUGUGAACUGUUUUUCCCCUCCCGGGUGUGUCUUUGAGUACAGUAUACUGUUUUUUUCUUUUUACAUGCUGCUGUUAAAAAAAAAAAAAAAAAUUAGAGUAAUGUACUUACAAAUAUACUUGGGAUGUGGGGUAAGGCCCACUGGGUUGGCAAAAAACCCAUAACCCACAGAAUAUUUUUGUGAAAAUUCGGUAUUGGGGCAUGGAAUUCUUUAACUUGCUGUGGUUUGCUGAACUUCUUGAAUCUGUAAGUUUAUGUCUUUCACCACAUUUGGAAAGUGUUCAGCCAGUAUUUUUUCAAAUACUAUUUUCUUCACCACACAUUUUGUCCACUUCUUCUGGAGUUCCAAUAAAUAAGCUUUUUGUCUAGUUCUUGAGGCACUGUCCAUUUUUUUCCAUAUUUUCCUCUCUGUUUGCAGAAUGGAUAUUUUCUACUGAUCUAUUUCAAGUAUUUAGUUUUUUUCUCUGUCAUCACCAUUCUGCUAUUGUGAAAAUAUCAACUGAAUUUUUUAUUCCUACGAUUGUACUUUUAACAUGUAAAAUUUUCAUUUGCAAAUAGCACCUAUUAUCUUUCCAUUUAUUUAAAAAGUGUCCCUGUUAUUUCUUGGAUUAGAAUAGCAUUUCAAAAUCUGUUUCUUAUGAUUUUGAGAGUACAAGUCCUGCUUAAAUUUUAUGGAGAAUUUUUUUGUUUUUAGCAGUCGAUUGACCCAGUUAUGUUCAGGCUCCAAGUUCUGUCCCAUCUUUUGUAUUCUAUGGUUCAAAUGUUAGUUCAAUUUUUGAAGGGUUUGCAGGUGUAUUUAGGUCUAACCUAUGUGAGCGCCACUCAGUAUGGAACCUUGAUGGCAUUCUAACCCAUAGUGCGGGUCUUAAAGGAUUUGAUAAUGCUUCUUAGGGUCAGGGCAAUGGAUACGCACCUGGGGGGUGAACCAGGAGUUCAUAGCAAGUCUGCAGAAUCUCUUUCUUGCACAGCCUCCUCUUUCUCUUCUGCUCUCUGAGUUCAGAAGGAGUGCUUUCCUGGCCCACUGGCGGGAAUGCCGGGGCUUUAAUCUCCUCAUUCUGUUGUGCACAUCAGUGACUGGUUCUGCCUAUGGGGCCAAAGCACCGGACAACCAGCCAAAAGGCUGGCACUUUGAACGUGUCAAGAAGCGCCUCAGAAGACAAACCUGGUGAUCUGCUUUUGAAAAGUCUCACCCUUUGAGGCAGAAUUGACUAGGUGUCAGUUAACAGCAGAGAGAGAGAAAAUGUAAUGGAGCUUUCUCUACAAUAUUUGGUUCUUCCAUACUCUGGUCAGAGAGAAGGAUUCUCCUCUGCCAGAGUUUCAGGUGUCUGCCCACCUGCCCAGCUGCCUGUCUCUCUCCUUUACGGACCUUCUAUCCCAUUUAUAUGAGAGAGGGCUUCUCUCGGGGCUGUUUCUGUCCACAACGGGUGUGCAGCUGUGAGAUUUGGGCUCAUUUAAUUUCAGCCUCUAGAAUGUUCAUACUUUAUGUUCUGGUUCUGCCCUGCCCCCAUCCACCUUCAACACUUUCCUUUGCAGAGUCCUGAGAUAGUGUCCCAUGCAUUUGUCCAGAUACUUAGUUGUCAGAUACCAGCAUAGCCACCGGGGGCAGUGCUGUUGUGGUUGAGGGGGGAGAGACUGUACACUGAAGGAGCUGCAAGACCUGGCUGCCUUGUGUGAGCAGGACGGGGGUGUGCUGAGGAGUGGGUGCUGAAGGUGCUGAGUCAAGGGGAGUUUAAUAUAAAGUUGGGUCAAGGAUAGUUUGUUGACAAGGAUUUAUUGCCGUAGCAAGGGUUCUGGAAAUGGGUUUAAUAUGCUGUGGGAUUGCUUUUGGAAGCUUAGAAAAGGCAAUGGCCCACAUUCUCUGAAAUGGAAAUGCCAGACCUGCUAGGUCAGAUGUUGGAAGAGGGAUUAAAAGCCUCCAAUAUGUGGGCAUGUCUGAGUUAGUCUUCUAUAAGACCAUUUCUUGGAGGUCCUGAAGGAUACCCAUUUCAUCAAAAGAAUAAGGAAUGCGGAGAUGAGGGGAGCACCAGCAAGAUAGAGCUUACCAAUAUGUAUACUUUGUAGGGAGUCCCUGGACGCCACAAACAGUUAAGUGCUUGACUAUUAUCUGAAAGUCUGGCAGUUUGAACGUACUCAGAGGGUCCUUGGAAGACAGUCCUGGCCAUCAACUACUAAAGGAUGAAAGCCUUAAAAACACUAUUGAACAGUUAGUUCUACUAUGCCCACAUGGGGUGGUCAUGAGUCAGAAAUGACUUGAUGACAACUAACAGCAACAAUUGUCUAUAGGCUCAGGUUGUUAGUGGGAGCUGGGCUGCCUAGUAGCAAUGCAAAUCAUGGGAUCCCAGCUCUACAGAGGCCAGGUGAAAGUACUUAACUGUCAGAAACAAGUUGUGUGUGAUUCCAAUAAUGGUCAGCAGGUCACAGUAGUAGUUAUCUAUUGGGGCAUAAUAGAUUCUCCCCAAACUUAGCAGGUGUGAGAUAAAUGGAAAAUUAAUAUUCAACUCAUUCUGAUAAAUUUGGAACUAGACAAAAAUUUUGGUAUCACUCAACAUAGUUUUCAGGUGAAGGAAUAAACUAGAAAAUUUAAAUAACUAGUAUAAGUAUAAUAAGAGAUUUUUCAAAUAAUGAUGAUAUAAUUGCAUACCUGAAUAAAAGACAAAUACAUCAAAAUCAAUGGUUUGUCUCCAGUAUAGACAUGAGGGUCUCAAAUUGGCAAGGGUGAGAAGGGCAGACCGUUCUCUUUCCCCUACUACUUGACUGGAUCAAACUGUGUUCAAAACUGUAAAAUAUUUAGGAAAACAUUGUUUUGACCAGAGCAUCAAAGGACCUCUAUGACGAAAACUAAUGUACUAAAAUACAUAAAAUGAAACCUGAAUGUAUGCAAAAAAUAUGCCAUAUUUUCAAAUGAGAAGUCUUGUCAAUGAAAUGGAGGUCCCUAAAACUAAUAUAUAAGUGGAAUGUAUUUCCAGUUGGAAUAUUAAGAUAGUUGUUUUUGAAUUGUAUACAGUGAUCAUAUGCUACAAAUAGUACAGUAGAUAGCAGAGGAUGUUGCUGGUGUUAGGAGACUUGGAGUCCAUUUCUGACUCAUAGUGAUCCCAUUUCACUGCCCCAUAGGGUUUUCUAGGCUGUGAUCAUUAUGGGAGCAGAACAACAGGUCUUUCCCCUCAGUGCCCCCUGGUGGGUUCGACCUGCCAAACCUUCUUUGGAUUAGCAGAUGAGCACUUAAUCACUGCAACACUACGGCUGCUUUAAAAGGUAUAGAGAAGAAAAACAUGAAAAAGCAGGAUACUGACAGGUGUCUACCUCUUCAGGUAACAGAACAAAUUGAUAUUACAUAGCAUAGAAACUGACAAGUCGACCAAUGAAACAAAAUCUGCUAAGAAGUCACAAUAAACAUUGAUAUAAAGGCGCUAUUUUGAGAAAAUUAUAUUUAUUUAAUAAACGGUGCUGACUCAAGUGACCGUUCUGGGGGACAAAGCUUGCAAAAAUGUGAUACACAAAUGAUAGAUUUGGAAAAUCAUGUGAAAUGGAGAUGACAAGGCUUAAUAACAAUUUCCAUUUUACACAGAAGGAUAAAAGUUAAGCACUUGAAAAAUGAGCAGUGAAUUCAAAAAGAUCGUUCACAGGAAAUCCACAUGCCCAAUAAACAUAGUCCAAGUUGCUCAAAAACACUGGUAGUUAAGAAAAUAUCAAAGUCCCAGUGAAACUGGCACAAUUUAAAAAUCAACACCAUCUAUGGCUGGCUGGGCUGUGGGGAGAAGGAUACCCUGAGACAUGGCUGGAAAGGUGCUUUAGGACAGCCUCUAGGGGAAAGACAUGGUCAUGGCUCUGUACUUUUAAAACAUACUUUGAGCUGGAAAUCUCACUCUAUGGAGUCUAUUGCACAGAAACAGAUCCUGUAGUAUACAACGGAUAGUUAUUAUUAGUGUUGACCAAACGUUGACUGUACAUUGACGGUUGAAUGAUAGAUAACUUAUGGUAAAGCUACAUCAUCAAUAAAUGAGUUGUAGUAGUUGAGUGGGAAAAAUAUCUGUGAAGUAUUAUUGAAGUAUUACUGAAAAAAUCUAGGUGCAGAGAAGUGUAUAUAAAAUGAGCACAUCUGGGUUAAACAAUAUCAAUUGUUUGAAUAUGCUUGGAUACCUGUUUAUGUUUAUGAGUGUUAUACACAUAAACGAUCCUUUUGAAUUCACUGCUCAUUUUUCACGUGCUUAACUUUUAUCCUUCUGUGUGUGUGUAUAAGUCUGUGUCCUUGUUUAAGCAAGGAUAAGAGAGACUACUUACCACAUUGUUAACCUGAAUUAUCUUGGAUUCACUUGCAGGAAAGAACAGGGGGAGGAGAGCUAGAACACGCAGGAAGAGUGGACUUAAAAAGCAUGGAUGAUAAUGUUUCCAUUUUAGUAGUGUUAUGUAUGAACGAACAAAUCUGUCUUAAAGGGAGAAAGCCAGAAUAUUUCUUAGAAGCAAGGAUGGCUUUGGCCAUGUUAUCAAGAGGGAGGGACCAGUCCCUGGAAAAGGACAUCAUGCUUGGUAAAGCAGAGGUCCAGUGAAAAAGAGGAAGACCCUCAAUGAGAUUGAUACAGUGGCUUCAACAGUGUGCUCAAAUAUAGCAAAGAUUAUUAGGAUUGCACAUGACCGGGUGGUGUUUUGUUCUGUGGUGCAAAGGGCCACUGUGAGUCAGAACUGACUUGAUAGCUUCUGACAAGAACAUGUAGAAGUACAGAUAAAGUGUACUGAAUUGAUAUCAUCUAUUUAAAUUAUUCAUGUAAGUUAAAAGAUCAAAAAAUAUAGUGGCAGUGCCAUAUCUAAUGACUUACAGAGAAUCAAGGUAGAAUAUCAAGUGAAAUAAGGGGCGAGAGCAAUGUGGGUGGAGUGUGACCAGGCUUUCAUAAAAGUAAACACCCCAGCAGAUAUACCUGUGUGCCUGUGACUGUGUAUAUGUGUCCCUGCAGAGAGGUGUAGGGAAGGUUACACAUGUGUCUAUUAACAUUGGAUACCCUGGGGGAGCAGGACCAAAUUACAUAUGAGGGUGGGACCCUGACAUUAAUUUUUUUGUCAUACAAAUCUGUGAUCUUGCAAAUGUGAUAAAAAACAAUUUCAGAGCUUUGGAAAUUCAUAAACAUCAUAGAUAUAUGUAUAUUUUAACAUGUUUUGUUAGAUAUUUAAAAUAGGUGAAAAUUCUCCAGAAUGACAGACAAAAGAUUUGAAUCACUGGCAGGAGAGCACACCGCAGAAAGUAAUAAUCAGAUCCAGUGGAUUUCUUGUUGUUCUUGGAGCCAGUGAGUUCCUCUGGUCUCUAUAACUGGAAAUGACCAAAAAUAAUUUUGGGAAAUCAGUAGAGUUACCCCUCAAACACGUCUUGCAAGCACACGUCUACAGCUAAAUGUAGAAGGCUGGACGCCAUGUGCAAUUCACUAGGUAACUCAUGCGCCUCUAGAAGAUUCUCUUUCCUGGAUAUGCUGCUUCCACCUCCUCCCUGCCUAGCCCCACUGGAUAACCCACCUUUGUGCAUUUUAGGCCCCAUUCAGGUCUGAGCAUAGAUCAUAGAGGACAUCAACUGGGAAGGUAGC